AAAAUACACACACAAAGCAUUUUUUUACUGUGAAAGUUUACAAUGUUGGCAUCGAAAUUUGCUAUAUUUUGUAUUGUUCUCAUUUGUCUUGCUAGUCUUCAUGAAUGUGCCAACCCGGAAAAAAAGCCCAAAGGAACAUGCUCA